rnacentral:rRNA from 1 species
AUACGUAGGGGACGAGCGUUGUCCGGAAUUACUGGGCGUAAAGGGCGCGCAGGCGGUAUAUCAAGUCAGCUGUCAAAGACUGGGGCUCAACCCUGGUAUGCGGUUGAAACUGAUAUGCUGGAGUGCUGUAGAGGCAAGUGGAAUUCCCAGUGUAGCGGUGAAAUGCGUAGAUAUUGGGAGAACACCGGCGGCGAAGGCGACUUGGUGGGGAGCAACUGACGUGGAGGCGCGAAAGCGUGGGGAGCAAACAGGAGUAGAUCCCCUGGUGGUCCACGCCGUAAACGAUGAAUACUAGGUGUAGGGGGUAUCGACUCCCUCUGUGCCGCAGUUAACACAAUAAGUAUUCCGCCUGGGGAGUACGGCCGCAAGGUUGAAACUCAAAGGAAUUGACGGGG